rnacentral:ncRNA from 1 species
ACAUUGCAUAAUUUAAACUGUUUUGUCAUUGAUCUGCUCAGAUGGGUAAUUCAUAAAUUUAUAGAAAAUAUCCUAAAAAAAUUUAAAAAAAAUUAUUUAGGCCGAUUGAAGUUGGCGGCCUUCAGCGCAUUAUCGUGCAGCAAUUUGACCUCCAUUGACGUGUGGCUGGGUGUAUAAGCACAGACUUUCAGGCGUUUCGAACAUUCUUUAUAGGCGUGGAGUACAAGCUUUGACAUUCAGUCAUCAGGGACAGUUCUCCUUGUAAAAUCGGGUUCUCGUCCGGUUAUAUUUUGUUGGUUUUCGGAAGCCCCGAGGUAAUGAUCAAAAGGGACAGACGGGGGCAUUCGUAUUGCGACGUUAGAGGUGAAAUUCUCGGAUCGUCGCAAGACGGACAGAAGCGAAAGCAUUAGCCAAGAAUGUUUUCUCUGAACAAGAACGAAAGUUAGAGGUUCGAAGGCGAUCAGAUACCGCCCUAGGAAGAUUUAAAGAUU